GCACUGCCGUGGAGUCCCACAAUAGGACGAAACGGCCGUCCAGUGC
rfam:Schistosoma mattheei strain Denwood, Zambia genome assembly, scaffold: SMTD_scaffold0000018